CUACGGGUCGCACCAGUAAGGAAUAUUGGUCAAUGGGCGAAAGCCUGAACCAGCCAUGCCGCGUGAGUGAAGACGGCCUUCGGGUUGUAAAACUCUUUUCUAAGGGAAGAACCAGCAGGACAGGAAAUGGUCCCGCUCUGACGGUACCUUAGGAAUAAGGAACGGCUAACUCCGUGCCAGCAGCCGCGGUAAUACGGAGGUUCCAAGCGUUGUUCGGAUUUACUGGGCGUAAAGGGAGCGCAGGCGGAAGGGUCAGUCUGAAGUGGAAUCCCGGGGCUCAACCUCGGACGUGCUUUGGAUACUGCCCUUCUUGAGUCCGUGAGAGGAAAGCGGAAUUCAGGGUGUAGCGGUGAAAUGCUUAGAUAUCCUGAGGAACACCAAUGGCGAAAGCAGCUUUCUGGCACGUGACUGACGCUGAGGCUCGAAAGCGUGGGGAGCGAAUGGGAUUAGAUACCCUUGUAGUC
rnacentral:rRNA from 1 species